rnacentral:rRNA from 1 species
CAAUAGCGUAUAUUAAAGUUGUUGCAGUUAAAAAGCUCGUAGUCGGAUUUCGGGGCGGGCCGAGCGGUCUGCCGAUGGGUAUGCACUGUUCGGCGCGUCCUUCUUUCCGGAGACCGCGCCUACUCUUAGCUGAGCGGGCGCGGGAGACGGAUCGUUUACUUUGAAAAAUCAGAGUGUUUCAAGCAGGCAGCUCGCUCUUGCAUGGAUUAGCAUGGGAUAAUGAAAUAGGACUUGUGCAUUUGUUUGGUUUCGGUAACAACCGAACGGUAAUAGAUUAACUAAGGGGACAGUCAGGGGGCACUCGUAUUCCGCCGAGAGAGGUGAAAUUCUCAGACCAGCGGAAGACGAACCACUGCGAAAGCAUUUGCCAAGGAUGUUUUCAUUGAUCAAGAACGAAAGUUAGGGGAUCGAAGACGAUCAGAUACCGU